UUUUUGAGACAGGGUCUUGCUAAAUUAUCAAGGCGGGCCUUGAAUUUGUGAUCCUCUUGCCUCAGCCUCAAAUAGUUUGGAUUCCAGGGGUCUGACACUAGGCCUGACUGCUCCUAUCUUUGUGUUUUUCAAAACCUUUCUUUUCAGGUAGGGGGGUUCAGUUGGGUACCAAAAUAUGUAGCCAAAUUUGUCUGGGCUGACUUAUCUGGGUUAAAACAUCCAAAGUAAUUCUCCAUUUGUUAUCCUUCUUAAAACGCUUUGUUAAAAGUCAUCAGUAGGUGGAUAAAAUUGCUUAACACGGUGAAAACUCUAAUUCAGAAUAAUUAUCUGAGAGAUUCAAAUGAAUAAAAGUUUGACUUAUGAAGUUCUUUUUGAGAUCUAUGAGUUUGUAUUUUAAAGCUCUCCUGGAAUAUGAGCUGAUUCUCAUGCAUUUCCAAGGAGAGUUCCUUUUGAACCUAUUUUAACAAACAGAUAAAGAUCAUUUUUAAUUAGUUCAUCAUUCAUAUGCAAAUAAAUGCUGUUAUGGAAUUUCGAGAGUGCUUGAAAGUGCUUCCCAAGGAAGCUAAUAGUUCCCUCUGGAUUUUAUUUUUUCAUUAAUAAUUUAUUUAGCAAACAUUUUCUUCCUAAAAAGUACAGAGGUCGUGAUCUUUCCAUGCUAGAAUUAGCCCAACAUUUUAGAUACUCGAUUUAUUUCAUGAGAUAUUACUAGAAUUUUUAUCAUGACUUUUAUCACAGAAGAAUCGUAACUAUGUCAUGUAUUUAAACCUUGUGGAAAAAAGUCCAGACGGCAGUUCCUUAUGGUUUGAUUUUAGCUAUUUCUAGGACAUUCAUUUUAACAUAAAACAGAAUUCUGGAAAAUGUGGGUUUUGUGUUGAUUUAUCUAAUGAGUAUUUAUCUGUUUCUUCUUCCUCUUGAGCAACAU
rnacentral:lncRNA from 1 species